rnacentral:rRNA from 1 species
UACGAGGGGGGCAAGCGUUGUUCGGAAUUAUUGGGCGUAAAGGGUGCGUAGGCGGCGCGGUAAGUCGGGUGUGAAAUCUCGGAGCUUAACUCCGAAACUGCAUUCGAUACUGCCGUGCUUGAGGACUGGAGAGGAGACUGGAAUUUACGGUGUAGCGGUGAAAUGCAUAGAUAUCGUAAGGAAGACCAGUGGCGAAGGCGGGUCUCUGGACAGUUCCUGACGCUGAGGCACGAAGGUCAGGGGAGCAAACGGG